GUUCCCUGAGAUCAACAGACACUGACCAGAGUCUGGUCCAGGCCAGAGCUUCCAUCCCACGGGACCUAGGCAGAGAAAUAUAAAGUGUUGAUGGUGAGCGGAUGCUAUGCACACCUACAGGACAGUCACACAGAACUAAUCCUGGCAGACAGAAGUCACUGCUACCUGAGGCAGGAGCACGGCCCACCCACUCCAGAAGCCUGGGCAGAGACUACAAACCACAUGACCUAUCAGAAGAUCUCUCAAUUAUCCCUGCCCGGGUACUAGAGAUCUUAAAUGGAAGGCCUCACGAAUGCUAAGCAAAUGCCCUGUCUCUCCACUAUAACCUCUGCCCUCUUUUUUUUUUUUUAACUUUCUGAUUCUGAGACACGGUUUUGCUGCACUGCCCUCACUGGCUGUCCACACUCCGACCGAAGCAGACUGGGUCCUCAAA
rnacentral:lncRNA from 1 species